GACGAACGCUGGCGGCGUGCUUAACACAUGCAAGUCGAACGGCAAGGCCCUUCGGGGUACACGAGUGGCGAACGGGUGAGUAACACGUGGGUGAUCUGCCCUGCACUUCGGGAUAAGCCUGGGAAACUGGGUCUAAUACCGGAUAGGACCACUGCCUGCAUGGGUGGGGGUGGAAAGCUUUUGCGGUGUGGGAUGGGCGCGCGGCCUAUCAGCUUGUUGGUGGGGGGAUGGCCUACCAAGGCGACGGCGGGUAGGCGGCCUGAGAGGGUGACCGGGCACACUGGGACGACGAUACGGCCCAGACUCCUACGGGAGGGAGCAGUGGGGAAUAUUGCGCAAUGGGGGCAAGCCUGAUGCAUCGACGCCGGGUGAGGGAGGACGGCCUUCGGGUUGUAAGCCUCUUUCAGCACCGACGAAGCGCAAGUGGCGGUAGGGCCAGAAGCAGGACCGGCCAACUACGUGCCAGCCGCCGCAGUAA
rnacentral:rRNA from 1 species